GUGUCAGCCGCCGCGGUAAGACAGAGGGGGCAAGCGUUGCUCGGAAUCACUGGGCGUAAAGGGCGCGUAGGCGGGUCAGGAAGUCGGUCGUGAAAUCUCCGGGCUCAACCUGGAGGGGUCGGCCGAGACUCCUGGUCUUGAGGGGGGCAGAGGAGCCUGGAAUUCCCGGUGUAGCGGUGAAAUGUGUAGAGAUCGGGAGGAACACCGGUGGCGAAGGCGGGGCUCUGGGCCCACCCUGACGCUGAGGCGCGAAAGCGUGGGGAGCAAACGGGAUUAGAUACCCGCGUAGUCC
rnacentral:rRNA from 1 species